AAGCAGGAAAACCCUGCAUUUUGCUUCUGGCUGAAGUCAGAAAAUAUAUAAUGUAUGUGGGUUCAGCUGGCAGUCUUGCCAGGAAGGAGCUAGUUUCAAAAUACCAGAUUUGGCUCCAUACUUGCUAGGUUUACAGUUAAUGGCAGUUAGCUGUGGACUCUACCUUUUAUUAGGGUCAAGUGAAUUGAAAAAGUCAAAUGGUGAUAGGUCCUUUUGUGGACAUUCCGUUCGAAUGAUUGGUCCAAUGAGGACUCGGAACUCCAGAAAGAACCCAAUGAUUGGCCAGAGGGAGUAAAUAUAAGGGCAGACACCGCAUUCUUUGGGAGCAGUUGGUCAGGAGACUAGAAAGAGUCGGAAGGUGAACUUAGAACCACAGGAGACAGGGACUGAGGGAGGCAAGCCAGGAGAGGUGUUUUCCAGGAUGGUGUCUGACCAGAGUGGCCAGCAGCUAACAGUGGGCCUCAGGAAGGAGAAAGACUUCAGAGGCAGCACCAUCAUGUCUGAGUCUUCAAGUACCAGACCAGAAGAGAGAUUUAUGAAGAAAACUGAAUCAAGCCGAUCAGGGGAUCUUUGACUGUGUCGGACCGGUCAUCCCACUCAGGGGAGCCAAACUGGUAUCGCCCUUCCAUGAUCAUCCGAAGCAUCAGCAUCUGCUUACGGUGCCAAAAAGGAGGAGAGCCAGCCAAGAGGGUGAAAAAGAUGACUCCACAGGCCCAACUUCAGGGAAAGGAGGAGAGAGCUUUAUUUCCUGCACCCUUUCCCCAAACACCAAAAUUGGAGAACAGCAAAGCAGAAAGACUAAGGAAUAUUGGCCGAGGAAGCACCCUAUACAAUUUGUGCAGCUUUUUGGAAA